UGGGGAAUCUUGCACAAUGGGGGCAACCCUGAUGCAGCGACGCCGCGUGAGCGAUGAAGCCCUUCGGGGUGUAAAGUUCUUUCGACAGGAACGAUAAUGACGGUACCUGGAGAAGAAGCUGCGGCUAACUACGUGCCAGCAGCCGCGGUAAUACGUAGGCAGCGAGCGUUGUUCGGAGUUACUGGGCGUAAAGAGUGCGUAGGCGGCGAGCCAAGUUUGGUGUGAAAUCUCCCGGCUUAACCGGGAGGGUGCGCCGAAAACUGGUUGGCUGGAGUAUGGGAGAGNAAAGCGGAAUUCCUGGUGUAGCGGUGAAAUGCGUAGAUAUCAGGAGGAACACCUGCGGUGUAGACAGCUUUCUGGACCAAAACUGACGCUGAGGCACGAAAGCGUGGGUAGCAAACA
rnacentral:rRNA from 1 species